rnacentral:rRNA from 1 species
GACGAACGCCGGCGGCGUGCUUAACACAUGCAAGUCGAACGGAAAGGCCUGCUUUCCCUUGUGGAUUGCGGGUACUCGAGUGGCGAACGGGUGAGUAACACGUGAGUGAUCUGCCCCCAACUUGGGUAUAAGCCUGGGAAACUGGGUCUAAUUCCCGAUAGGACUGCAGGGUGGUGCCUGUGGUGGAAAACGAUUUUCUAGUGGUUGGGGAUGAGCUCGCGGCCUAUCAGCUUGUUGGUGGGGUAAUGGCCUACCAAGGCGGCGACGGGUAGCCGGCCUGAGAGCGUGGACGGCCACAUUGGGACUGAGAUACGGCCCAGACUGCUACGGGGGGCAGCAGUGGGGAAGAUUGCACAAUGGGCGGAAGCCUGGUGCAGCGACGCCGCGUGAGGGAUGACGGCCUUCGGGUUGUGAACUCCUUUCGACCGCGAGGAAGCCACCUGGUUGGAAGGGUGGUGACGGUAGUGGUAGAAGAAGCACCGGCUAACUACGUG